rnacentral:misc_RNA from 1 species
AAACUCUGGGCCACCUUCAGUGGCUCCGUCAUCCACGCACGCAUACGCACGUCAGGAACGACCCCCGUUAUUUUGCUUGGGGAUUAUUUUGGCAUGUGUAGGGCGAGGGGAGAAAGGUGGAGCUGCAGGUUCUCUAGCGGAGAACACAUAAAGCUUUCAGGCUAGCCUCAUCACAUCUUUCCGCCUCGGUUCACCGCCUGCGCUAUCCCUGCCAACAAUGACCUCGCCUACGGCCGCGGGUGCUGAAAACCGGCCAAAGCCGUUGCACACGUAUCCGGAAGAUGUGCCACCCAGCAGCAAGAUCCUCGCACACUGCGGCUUUGACAGUCGUCACUUCAACGCUGUUGCCUACCUCGGUGACAACACCCUGCUCACUAGUGGUGGCAAAUUCGUGCUCUUCGUUCACGUCGACACCGGCGCAGUGGAGUCGCAAGACGGACCCCAGGAUGGGGCUGUUGGCGCUGUCGCUGUACACCCCGGCGGUACGUCGUACGUAGUGGGUGAGCGCUGCCCUGUAAAUCCGCUUCUCCGCGCGUACGGCUGGCCCUCUCGCGCCCAAUCUAAAACCUUUGCAGGUGGCGCAGAGGUGGGGUACAGCGCGCUCGCCUUCAACGUGGGCGGCAGCCGCCUCGCUUCCGUCGCAAGUGCACCCGACUACACCCUUGCCAUCUGGGACUGGGAGAACACCUCGCUACUGUUGCGGAGCAAGUGCUUCAACUCCGACGUGUACAGCGUCGCCUUUAGUCGCUUCGAUGACGCGCUCCUCGUUACGGGCGGGGCCGGGCACAUCAAAUUCUGGAUGAUGGCGGACACCUUCACCGGGAAGAAGCUGCAGGGCUCGCUCGGUAAGUUUGGCCGUCACGAGAUAUCCGACGUCGCCGCGUUUGUGAUCUUGGCGGACGGCAAGGUGCUCUCCGGGUCCGACUGCGGCGACCUUCUCUUGUGGGAGGGAGACCUCAUCGCCUGCACGUUUGCCCGCGCCUUUGCCGUCGAUGAGCCCGGCGCCAAAGGAUUGGGACAGGCACCUCACGAUAUUGAGCCAUGCCACGACGGCGCCAUCCACUUUGUCUCUCUGCAGGGCCGCUACGUGGUAACGGCCGGCGACGACGGAUACAUGCGGUACUGGGAUCUUCAUGAGCUGGAGGUGGCAGAGGGCACCGGACUGCCGCCGUACUACGCGCCGAACUGCCUUCACGAAGUGUGCGUGUCGGCCGCGUUUCGCAUCCGCUCCGUCACGCUCGAUGAAGAGCACCAGCAGUGGGUCAUCCUCGACGAGUCUGGCACCAUGGCCACACUGCCCUACCCCCUGCGUAACGGCAAACUAGACACGACAGAGCGAGCGGGGCAGGUGCGACUUCGGCUGAACGGUGUUCCGCUCACAUGCGCGGCGGUGUCUCCCGUCGAACAUGUCGUCCUCACCGGCGGCAUGGACGGCGUUGUGCGCUGCAUCGACUAUGUGUGCUGCGCAGAGCGGUGCCGCAUGGAGUGGCCGCGCCAUCCGCGCAAGGACCCGGUGCCGGUGGCAGACAUAAAGGUGCUAGCGCCACGCUCGACGGCACAAAGCAUGCUCGCGGUGGCUGGUUUUAGCGACGGCACGGUGCGGCUACUGGAAAUCGGUGAAGGUAGCUGCAGCAUUCGAGUGGUUGGGCAGUGGAAGGCGCACGCGGAUGGGCUGUGCGCGCUGGCCGUGAACGAGGACGCGUCCCAGGUGGCCAGCAUCUCCCCCAGCGGGCACGUUUUCUUCUUCAGCGUGGAAACGGCACCCUGCACGCUCGACCCUGUGGGCUAUUGCGUCGGACCAUUGAAGAACCCCACGAGCGCGGCAUGGGACACGCAGGCUGUAGGCGGCCACGGUGGUUGCCUGCUGGGCUUCGAGGGUGGCCAGCUACUCUCGAUCCACGCCCCAGCACCAGGCUCCGUGGACCACAACGAGGGGUACGAGUUUCCGUGUGCAUAUGACCUGGUGGCGAUCCGCCAGCGGCAACUGCCACCGCCAAAGACGGAAGUUGAGGAGCUCGAGUUGGUGGACGACACCGCUGCGACCGCACUGGACGAGGAGGAUGUGGGGCCAUGGCCGAUCGCCUUCGUCGUGCAAUUCCCAGGGGAUGGUUUUGCGAUCGGCAUGGGUAAGGAGGAGCUGGCGUACAUGUACCAGGGAACCAUCCGCUACGCGAACCGGUUGGAGCUGCCGCCCCUGCCCCCCACCGGCGUGGAGCCGCCAGACUACGUCGAGGACCCGGCGCUGAACGUGUGCUACCGAGGCUGCGUGCCGCGUCGGGCUUUCGUCAGCCCCAACGGCGCUCUUGUCGUGUGUGCAGACCGCAACCGACUACUGCUGCGGGAGGCUACAAGUCGUUCGCAGGUGUUUCUGCUCGGCGCGGCGCACGACAGCACGGGUGGCGCCGUCACCGGCGCCUUUCUCUCUCAUAACGGCAGCAUGGUUGUCUCUAUCGGCACCGACGGCCUUGUCGUGACACAGCUGCGAGACGGCUACGCAGCCCCGCGUCCUUUGCCGCUUCUUAUCGGCAACGCUCCAGCCGUCGAAGAUGCCCUCGACAUGGUUUCUUCGGCGGCAGCCGCCCCCGCGGUUGUUGCGGUGGCCGAAGAGGUCGUGGGGGCUGCCGACGCACCCGCUUUGUCGGUGCAGGAGCAGAAAGAGGCGGACGACGCAGCUCGGGCCGCGGCAGAGAGGGAGGCGAAGCUGCAGCGCUUCUUGAAUAGGCUGGAGAAGGUGCGCGACGCGUACGCUGAGCUGGUGCACCGCAACGAACAGUUGCCGCCUGGCCAGCGACUGAGCAGGGACGAAAUGCAACUCGAUGCGUCGCUCCAGGACGCCCUCGACGCGGAGAAGCAGCGCCGAGUGCGAGAGGCUGAAAAGGAGUAUAUCCUGCCCACCGCCCGCGAAGAUGUCAAGACGGCCAAGCUGAAGAACUGCUUCCUCGACAAUCUGCUCUACGACCGUUUUGAACUAGCGGCCAUCGAAGGGGGCUUCUCCGUCGCCUCCUUGCGCCUCUUCGACCCACACGAAUCCAUCGCCAAACUGGACGCGGCUGCUCGCCAGCUAGCCGAGUCGGACGGGGAGUCGGACGUAGAGAAGGAAGAGGACGGGGCAAGUGACAGCGAGCAGGAUGGCGCCGGUGCAGAUGCAGCAGCGACAGAGCCCAUAGUCGCGGAAGACUCUCAGGCAGCCGGCGUCGACGCCGCCGCCGCCCACGAGCGGCCUGACGAUCUGGUUGGAAUAGCCACCAUCGGCGCCUCCGUGAAGCAGCAGCUCGACAAAAUGGUUACACGCCGUCGCGAGCGGCAAGAGCGGCGGGACGGCUAUGCGCGUUUGUUGGACCGCAAGCCGAACCCAGCAAUCGACGACGCAGCGCUGAAGCAGCAGAUCGCCAUGGACCUAAAGAACCGAGGUGACUGCACGUUUCGCACAGAUGCAGCGUACCGAGGCGAGCACCCGUACCGCCCCACCGCAGUCGCCAAGCUGCAGCGCAUGAUCCACCUGAUGGAGGACAUUGUGCGCAUGAAGACCUCCUUCAACGAAGACUUGCUCAAGCUGCGCGAGGAGAAGCGGCACGCCUUCUCCCGUCUCAACUGUAUGCGCCAGGACUACGGAAAGGUGCUGUUCCAGCUGGGAUUGUGCGCCUCGCCUGAAAUGCCUGAACUAUCCCUCACUGUUGAGGAGGAGCCCGAGACGCUGUACACGAUGGACCGCGACAAGCUCGAGGCGUACAACAAACAGAAAGCGGAGGAGCGGGCCAAAGCGGAGGCGAUGAAGGCGCAUCGUGGUUUUGGCGCGGACCUGGCCGGCGCGCAAGCGCCCGAGCGCUCGCGGGACUCCUCUACCGUGGCCAUCGGUGCCGGGCCUGGGACUAUGAUCACGCCGCAAAAGCGCUCCAAGGGCAGCCACUUCCCCUCCUACCUCGGACGAGGCUCACGGCUGAGCGCCAUCGGCAGCCUGGCGAUGCGGGAGCGCAUGGACGCCGAUCUGAGGGGCAAGCUCCACAAUGUAACCCUCACGCCAGAAGAGAAGGAGGAGCGGGAGAUGCAGCGCGCCGUGUUGGAGCGGGACAUGCGGCGCUUGAAAGACGCCAUGGCGGCGGUGCGGGCGGAGUUCAAUGACAAGCUGGAGUCACUGCGGCUGCGUCGCGCGGCGCUCGACGUCGAUCUGUGCCUUAUGACGAGGUGCCUGACCCUCUUCCACCGCGAGUAUCAGCUGCUGCUGAUCUUUCGCUCGCAGGACAAGAAACUCCGCGCUGUCUUGACGGCGGUGAAGCAGGAGCGGGAGUCGGUGCAGCGCGCCAUUGCAUCUCAGCACACAGACCUAGCGUCUAGCGAGGAGCGCAUUCGCCACCUCACCGCGCAGCUCAAAUCCACAAAUCAGGCAGCAGAGGCGUACAUCGACGAUCAUUGCCCAAGCGACAAGCUGACGUACAUUAAGCGAGUCUACUAUCGGCAGCUGAAGCGCCGGCGCCGUCCGGAGGAUGGGGACGACGACGAUGACGACAUCACCAGCGAUGACGACGAGGACGAGGACGACGGUAUCGGCGAGGAGGUUCGGCCGCCCAACUGCAGCGUGGAGGCGUGGGAGGGCAUGCUGAAGUGUCGUGAAUCUCGCCUCGACCUGACGGAAGCCAGUGACGCGGCUAAAGCAGAGGUGGCGAGCAUCCGCAAGCAGCUGGAGAAGAGCGAGCAGCGGCUGCAGGAGCUGGCGGAGCAUGUCAAGCAGUGCCGAGCCGAGGUGCAGGUGCUCGAGGAAAAGAAGCGGAAGGAGUUGAACAUGCUGUAUACAGCGGUGCCACUCCGCCUGAGUCAGGUGCGGUGCCUUGAAGCCGAUGCGCGGCUACCGUCCCACCUCCCCGAUCAGCCGGUAGUUGUCAUCUCCGCGGAGCAGAUGAGCGCGCUGCGACAGCGCAUCUUUGACUUGGCUGACCAGAAGAUAGAGCGCCGUGACGAGGUGGCGAGACUGACGGCGGAGCUGCAGCCGCUCAAGGAGGCGCGUGCGGCCUCGAAUCGCGUGUUCGAAGAAUGGCAAGACAAGGUGAACGAGGUGAUGCUACUUCGCUUUGGCCAGCACGUUGACUUAGAGAUGCUGGAGUCGUGCGGGUCCAGCUGGGCAAUAGAAGCGAAAAAGGAAGAGCUGCACCACCUUGAAUUGAAGUGGGCACGAUCGGUGAAGAAGGUUGAAAACCACAUUGCCGAACUCCGCACGCGCCUCCAAGACAAAGUCUUUGCAAACACGAGCCUGCUGCAGAACCUCGGCGAUCUCGAAACGGAGCGUCAGCGCGUAGAUUCUGUGUUGUCUCAAGCCACUUCCAAGACGGUGCAGCAGUACUGCGGCACGACGGUCGCAUCGAAGCAAGAGCGUGCCGUGCUGCGCGAGCUCAUUGCCGCACAGCAGGAGGAGAUAGACGCGCUCACGGCCGAGAUCCUCAUGCUGAAGCGCAAGGGCGGACACGUCUAUAGUCAAGCCAUGAUGUAGGCUCGGUGCAGCAGCGUUUUCGGUUUCCAUGCCGCAAGAUACGCCGACACUAUUCUCCCUCGCUCUUUGCGGCUGCUCGUGGCCAGCGCUUCUCUCUGCACAUUCCAGCCGCCACAGCAGCCCUUUUGAACGACGGCUCUUUGCCACUCUUGCGUCCUUCCCUUAUUUUCUCUCACGUAGCGUUUCCCCUACUCCUACGCUUUCACUUGUUUAAAGGGGUGAAGAUGGACUAGCGGUGCCGUUCUAGCGAGGACGUACGAAACGUCGAGAAGCCGCAAGCGAUUGUCUGCGUCAUGUACUGGCCCCCGCCACCUAGCCUACCCUUUCCCUCCCCGGUCAUGUUCUAUGUGAGUGCCGUCAUAUGUGUUUGCCGCGAACUAUGCACUCGAUGUACCCAUGUAUAGAGCCCGAUCUUUUUUUUCUCAUGAGAAGAGAUGGCAGUCGGCAUGCGCUUGUGCAUCUCUGUGGUGUGCGCUGUUUUCCGAAUGACGUCGCCAGAGUGCGGGGCACUCCGCUAUACUGCGAAAGUGGCGCGCCCGAGCGGCGAAGCACCGACUCACGGCCUCUUCGACUCUCUCUCCACUUUUGUGUAAACAAAGAAAGACGCUUAGCCCGUUGUCCCUUGUAUGCGUUUUCACUCACUUCACUUGUUGCUACCCGUGAGGGUCAGAGCCAAGCGCC